CCUACGGUGGGCUGCAGUGGGGAAUAUUGCACAAUGGGCGCAAGCCUGAUGCAGCCAUGCCGCGUGUGUGAAGAAGGCCUUCGGGUUGUAAAGCACUUUCAGCGGGGAGGAAGGCGGUGAGGUUAAUAACCUCAUCGAUUGACGUUACCCGCAGAAGAAGCACCGGCUAACUCCGUGCCAGCAGCCGCGGUAAUACGGAGGGUGCAAGCGUUAAUCGGAAUUACUGGGCGUAAAGCGCACGCAGGCGGUCUGUCAAGUCGGAUGUGAAAUCCCCGGGCUCAACCUGGGAACUGCAUUCGAAACUGGCAGGCUAGAGUCUUGUAGAGGGGGGUAGAAUGCCAGGUGUAGCGGUGAAAGGCGUAGAGAUCUGGAGGAAUACCGGUGGCGAAGGCGGCCCCCUGGACAAAGACUGACGCUCAGGUGCGAAAGCGUGGGGAGCAAACAGGAUUAGAUACCCGAGUAGUC
rnacentral:rRNA from 1 species